UACGUAGGGGGGCAAGCGUUGUCCGGAAUCAUUGGGCGUAAAGAGCGCGUAGGCGGCCCGAUAAGUCCGCUGUGAAAGUCAAGGGCUCAACCCUUGAAUGCCGGUGGAUACUGUCGGGCUAGAGUCCGGAAGAGGCGAGUGGAAUUCCUGGUGUAGCGGUGAAAUGCGCAGAUAUCAGGAGGAACACCAAUGGCGAAGGCAGCUCGCUGGGACGUGACUGACGCUGAGACGCGAAAGCGUGGGGAGCGAACAGG
rnacentral:rRNA from 1 species